CAGCGUGUCAUGGCUGUGUUUGCGUGUUGUGCUAGCCAUGCCCUUGUUGUUUGGCAUGGUUACUGCAGCUGGUGAACUGUGUUGGUAACAGUGCUAUCUAGCUGUAGCUGUUUUGUUAUUUCUGAAGUUGAAGAAAUUUUGUUGUUGUUAUGAUCUGGUGGAGGUAAUAGAACCUCUUCACCUAGUUCUGUUUCAAGUAUCUGCUAUCUUAGUCGUGUGGUGGUGAGAUGUUUUUCUUUUCUCCUGCAAAGUAAGUGUUAAGUGUUGAUGGAGUAGUAUAGCAGCCACAAGCAUUUGAUUGAUCAUUAUUUGUUUUGUGUAGUUGAUCAUGUCCUGAUGCAAUUUUAUUGUAUUUUGUUUGGAGUAGUGUUGUUUGCUUGAUUUAACAUGUUUAAAUAGCCAGCCAACGAGCUAGUUUUUUUGGAGUAGUUUCAUGGGUAGUAAAGAAGCAAGAAUCUGCUUUGUGACUAUUCUUUUAAUUACACGUUCUGGUUUAUGAAGGCUAUUGAGUUGCUAUGGUGUGCUUCAUUUGAGUAUAUUAAUCAUGCAAUUUUUGGUGUUAUGAGAGUUGUCCAUAUCUUCACCUAAUUAAUUAACUAAACUGAAAUAUUUACUAACAUGAUUGCUUCCUACAAAUUAUGUGUUGUUUUCCAUGAUCUCUAUAUGUAGUACUCUAGUGCUUCAUUUUUAAGUUUGAUGGGAUCCUGUGUUGUUUUCCAUGAUCUGGUGCUAUACUGGAAUAUCCUUUGUGACAUCAAUAUGUGUAUUGUGUAGUAUUUGCCAAUGCUGAAUUCACAUGGAUUUAUGGGCCUAUGUUGCUGUUUAUCUCGAAUGAUGAAUUUGUAGCUUGCUUGUGCUGCUGGUACCAUCCGUUCAUGUCAAAUAUACCAUGAUAUCAGCGUUUGCUUUGCUGACCAUGUUGUUGUUGAAGGAUAACGAGGAGGACUAAAGGACAACGGUAACCUUGUUCUUCGACUCCAUGUUGUGUUUAUGUAAAGUUUUUGGUUCCUCUAUAUAUCUUCAUGAUAACAGGAUUUCUAGCUUUAUUUGAAUUAUUGUGAUGAUGAUGAUGAUCUGGACAACCAUAGUAUCUUGUGUUACUGAGAAUUUGACAUGUGGUUAAUCCUGGAUAAUUUGAGGUCAGAUGGUCAUUCUCUCAAGAAGAAGAGUUUCCGGGAUAGCAAGUUGGCGUUGGCUAGAGCUCUGUGUUUGUGAUGUUUACCUUCUUGAUGUGUACAUAUGCACGAGUUUGUGCUUGCCCUGUCUGUAGAGCUUUGUUUUCUGUUGCUUGCUUUCUUUGUGUGCUCCUGUGCAUUACCAUUCAUUGGUGUUUGCUGCUCGGUGUUAUGGAAACUCUCGUUCAUUGUGUUUGAAUGUCCUAUCACAGGUUGUGCUGUAGGCAGUAGUCUAAAUUGAAGCAUACUGUUUGUGCUGGUUUUGAUGUACAAAGAAAAAACAAUUUCAUACCGAAAUUUUGAGCACUCACUGCUUAUUAAUUUUGAUCCAUUAGCUAGCUUAGUCGCUAGUUUUUAUUAUUGGUUGGGUAGUGAAUGAAGCAUACACGUGUGUUCAUUACCGGCUAUUAUUUGGAGUUACAAUUUUUAAGUGUCAGUGUUUGCUUUUUGUUGAGCUGACCAUGGUUUGUUCUUUUAUAAAUAUGUCAGUUUUUGGUUUACUGGGUCAUUAGUAAAUGAAUGAAUGAUGAGAACAAGUGUGUUUAGUAUCCAAUGGACACACUUGCACUCGUAACCAGCCAGCUUAUAAGAACAAUAUAUGCUCGUGUUGGGUGUUUAAAGAACUCUACUGUUUGGUUUGAUUUAAAUGGAUUUUAUUCAAGUUGCCCAAGUCGUUUUCUCACUUUGUUGUUAUCAAUCUGAUAAGAAGAGCUGGUGUUAUGAUUUAUUCAUUGCAUUGACAGUUACUAAUUUAGUGUCAUGUCUAGGACUUGUCGAGCAUGCUUCUUAUGUUCAAGUGUUUUUGCUUGCCAGGUGAAGAAUGCAUUAAUGCAGGGUACAGUUGUGUUUAUUAGCAGCAGUUAUUUUGGAGCCUUUUUUAAAUAUCAGUAUUUGCUUUGCUGACCAUGCAUUGUUCUUUUCUCUUUUUUUUGAGAAAAACCAUGCAUUGUUCUUGUUCAAGGAUAACGAGGAGGGCUAAACAAAACUCUCAUGGCCUUCGUCAAGCGACUCCAUGUGUUCUUUUAGGGAAGUUUCUGGUUCCUAAUUGUUGUGAUUUCUGUUUGAAGUAAAAGAUUUCAAAGAAAGAACACUUGCUUUCAUUGAUGAAUAGGGGGUAUUUAUACCCCAGGAACAGGUGCCAAUCAGAGGUGGUUUACAAGGUUCGCGCCCUCUCGGAGGGACGCGGCGUUUGGAUAAAAUAACUGUCUACUAAGCUAAUCUUACUAACUGCCUAAUUAGCUUAUGAUCUAAGCUAUAUUCUAUUCCUAACAAUUUCUUUGUACCGAUGCAUUCCCAUUGCUGGCCUGGAGUUUCAUGUUUUGCUUGUGUCUAAAUCAUGCAUUUGUAUGGCCCAGCAGUUGAUCAUCUCCUCAUGUUCUAUCUGUUUUUCAUUCUAUUCUGUCACAUCAAAUUAUUGGAAUGGGUGAUGUCAAAUCGUUGGUCCUACACCUGGGAUCAUUUGUGCUAUUUUUCUUUCUUUCACCUGGUAGUUUGGGACCUCUCUAACUAGCUAUAUACAGAGAUCAAACUAGCUAUCUGCUGCAUGUACCAAGUUAGUUGUUUACCUUUUACUCUUACUUUGACAUGCUCAAUUCUGAAUCCAUAUUAUUCAAGAAAAUUGGCCUGUCUUAUUUGCAUGUGAAGUUUUGUGACUGGGUACUACUUGCUGUGCAAUGUUAGUUUCCUUUGUUCAUUGAUUGAAUUGGUGGAGUAUUUCCAUUGUCUGUACUCUUCCUGGAUUGUGAAGUCUGAGCUUGUGGAUAUACCAUGUUGGGUGAGUGCUAACAUGAUAUAUGCCAACCUGAAUUCGUGGUUUAUAAAUUUCCAGGAAUGAAGGAAGUUCAUGACAAAAUUUCAAUCUUUUUUACUUCAAUAAAAAUCUGUUUGGUCAUGUCAUUAGCAUAUAUGAUAUCUGCGUGAUUGAUAGUUUUGAUAAUGACCAAAUUAUUAAUGUAUUUUCUGUUUCUUGCCAGUCCCGCUUGGUCUGGUAUAGUGAGGGUGACAUCGCUCGGCGUCGAGGAUGACGUGGCCUGGCAGGUUCAGGCAGCAGCGGCCUUCUACUCCGCCUCCAGGUGUUGAUGCUUCGAAGGGGUCGUAUCGUGCUGAUGGACCAAGUUACUGAUUCCUGUAACUUCACCUCGAAAAUGAUUUGAUCUGCUAUGCUGUUGUGUUCCAGCUCGUCUUCAUUGCAUUGCUAGAGUGCUUCCAGGCUUGCGAUACAUGAUCUGCUACCCUAUUGUGUUCCAGGUUCUUGGAUCAGAUUGGUGGUUUCGAGAAUGAGAUGCUUGCGAGGAUUUAAGCAGCAGCAAGCACUGGACAUGAACUCCAUUGCUGACCGUCUAUGCAUCUGGCCACUUCGGUGUCCGCCACGUGGGUCGCUGCAUGUAUAAUGUUCCGGUCCUUGUGAUGCUGAGUAGUGUCGGAUGGUAGUAGCAUUAUUCAGGAGCUGUGAUGCUCCAGGUUCAGGAACUGUGUAAUAGAGUAGUAUUAACUGUUGUCUCCCUUUGCUGCACCGUUUGGUGGCCCUAACUCUGCGUUUGUAGCAGAGAGUUGGGUUGUACGUGUGCCACUUAUAUUGUUGAUUUAUCUGCUGUGAAUCUUGAGAAAAGUGGCAAAAGUCGUGGCGAGAUUUUGAGUGAGCAA